AACAUCGCGCACCUGCGGGAACCUGCGGAAGGAUCAUUAAAGAAUUUGAAUGAAAUGCAUUUGAACUUUCAAGGAUAUCUUGAGGUAGGUGGUAAGUUAUUGCUGCUUGUUUCGGAUUCUUUGAAUUCAUUGCAUUUCUUUAUAUUCAUACCCGCACUACAUGGGAGACCGUGUAGUGUUACCUAUUUAGAAUCAUUUUUGUAUUUCAUUAGUCUUUUUAAAAUUUGUUAAGUUUUUAAU
rnacentral:misc_RNA from 1 species